GGGGAAAUAGCUGAGUUGGUUAAAGUGCUGGCCUAUCACACCAGAAGUCAUGGGUUUGAACCCCAUUUUCUCUA